AUAUUACAAUCAGGUCUUUCUUCUUUAUCUUUAAUCGAAAACUUUUUCAAUCUCUCUUCUUACAAUAGAACAAAUAGAAAUAAGUCACCAGUUUCAUACUUCUUUAUCAGUACAAUCUUUAUAAAUUAAGAUUGUUCCAGCUAUUAUAUUGAGGGUAUUUGGAAUGUAUCUGAAUUUUGAGAUAUUGGUACUGAUAUCCGCAAGGAUUUUCGAAAUUUUAUUAAUUUUCAGAAUUCUAACUAAAAUUCUGUUAUUUCCCCUUCAGUUAUUUUGUGAUCCUAUGUGGAAUCGAGGUUAUGUUUUUCUUCACUUGUCAAUUUUUGUGUAUAUUUACAUCUAACAUUAUUAUUUAGUUAUGUUAAGCGAUCAGCAGAACAAAUACAUUUUCAACAAGAUGAGACCCCUCCAUAUUUUGGACGUGUGGUACGGGCAUAUCUAGAUGAAACUUUUCCUGAUAAAUGGAUUGGACGCAGGGGAGCAAUUGAAUGGCCAGCUGGGUCUCCCGAUAUGACCCCACUUGACUUUUUUUUAUGGGGGGCAGAUGAAAAAUGUGGUUCACAAAUAUAGGCAGCCAAAUAUUAAAGAGUUGCAAGAAAGGCAUGAAAUGUCUACCAUUUUUUCUCAUAUGAUUUUAGAUUCACUACAAAAUUUUGUUCAGCGAGUUAAUUACUGUCAGGAGGUGAAUGGUAAACACUUUGAGCACCUUAUCAAAUAGCAUUCCAUUGAAAAUAUUUGUUGUUUAUUAAAACUUGUUUUCUCUCUUUGUCUCCUGGCAUAACUAUUGUUUUCAUAAAAUUUUAAAUAUCCUGGACAUUCAUUAAAAAUACAUUUUAUCAUUUCAUGCAUUUUUAUCAAUCUUGAACAAUUACGCUUGUGUGACUUGUGUGACUUUCAUAAUAAAUAUCCAUCAUUUCG